ensembl:misc_RNA 7SK 7SK RNA
GGAUGUGAGGGUGAUCUGGCUGCGACAUCUGUUGAUCGCCAGGGUUGAUUCCGCUGAUCUGGCUGGCUAGGCGGGUGUCCCCUUCCUCCCUCACCACUCCAUGUAUGUUCCUCCUGGAGCUGCGUGCUUGGUCUAAGAGGAUGGCCUUCCCUGAAUAGAGACGGACCAGUUUUCGGUCGAGGGUAUACUAGUAGCUGCACUCCUCUGCUAGAACAUCCAAACAAGCUCGCAAGGACUCCGGUUUGAGCCCCUGACUCCCCACCUGCAGUGGGGUCACUUCAGGG